UCGAAUCUUUUGAACGCACAUUGCGCCCCUUGGUAUUCCAUGGGGCAUGCCUGUUCGAGCGUCAUUUGUACCUUCAAGCUCUGCUUGGUGUUGGGUGUUUGUCUCCCCUCUGCACGUAGACUCUCCUCAAAACGAUUGGGACCCGGCGUAUUGAUAUUUGGGAGCACUACAUCUCUCGCUUUGCUUUCAUAACGACGACAUCCAAAAGUACAUUUUUACACUCUUGACCUCCCAUCAAGUAGGGAUACCCGCUGAAUGAACUCAUAUCAAUGAACGGACGAAGGAGAACUUAA
rnacentral:misc_RNA from 1 species